CCUACGGGUGGCAGCAGUGAGGCAUAUUGGUCAAUGGACGCGAGUCUGAACCAGCCAAGUAGCGUGAAGGAUGACUGCCCUAUGGUUUGUAAACUUCUUUUAUAAAGGAAUAAAACGAGACGCGUGUGCCUUUUUGCAUGUACUUUAUGAAUAAGGAUCGGCUAACGCCGUUCCAGCAGCCGCGGUAAUUCGGAGGAUCCGAUCGUUAUCCGGAUUUUUUGGGUUUAACGGGAGCGUAGAUGGGUUGUUAAGUCAGUUGUGAAAGUUUUCGGAUCAACCGUAAAAUUGCAAUUGAUACUGGCAGUCUUGAGUACAGUUGAGGUAGGCGGAAUUCGUGGUGUAGCGGUGAAAUGCUUAGAUAUCACGAAGAACCCCGAUUGCGAAGGCAGCUUACUAAACUGUGACUGACAUUGAUGCUCGAAAGUGUGGGUAUCAAACAGGAUUAGAUACCCCAGUAGUC
rnacentral:rRNA from 1 species